rnacentral:lncRNA from 1 species
GCUAAAUACUAAACGUGGCUAUGUACUAAACUAGUUUCCUUUUUCUACUCCAUUUCCUUUAAAGAUAAAAGACUUUAAAAUAAGUUCGACAUAAAACUAGGUUAUGUAAAAAGUGAAAUAUACAAUAGCACAAAGGCUGAAGGGUAAAUGGAAUAUACUUUUAAGAGUUUAUUACUUGUGGAAUAUGAAGUAUAAAGAAUGAAAUUGUACAAAAGAAAAAAUUAAAUACAAUUUAUCUGAAUAACCCAAAAGAAGGCAGCAAACAAGGAGUAAAAAACAGGAUAAGAGGAAAAUAUUGAGAUGGCAGACGUAAACUCAGUCAUAUCAAUUAUUACAUUAAAGUAAAUGAACUAAAUUAUUACAUGGAAAUGUACAACAGACAUCUCAUGCUAUUUUAAUCAAAGGUCAACGUAAGAAUUCAAUUAACAUUUUUUCAUGCCAGAAAUGCAACCUAUAACAAAAUUAAAUUAAAAAGCAGAGCAUCAGAACUGGAUAAAUUGCUGUAGCCACUGGAAAAUAGUGUGGAUAUUCUUCAAAAAAAUAAAACAAAAUUAUCAUGAUACAGCAAUCUUACCUCUGCAUCUUUACCUGAAAGAAACAAAAUCAUCUUCUUGAAAAGAUAUACUAUCCCCCAUUCACUGUAACAUUAUUUACAAAGCCAAGACAAUCUAGUGUCCAGUGACAAAUGAAUAAAGAAAAAUAUGGCAUAUAGGUGUGUGUAUAGGAAUAUUAGUGGUAAAGAAAUCCUUCCAUUUGUAACAUCGUGAAUUGGCACUGAAAACGUUAUGCCAAGUGAAAUAUAUCAGAGAAGGACUUAUGAUGUAUUAUCAAUUCGAUAAAAUAUUAAAAGCCAAUGCACUCAAAGAACUUCAAUAUACAUGAACUUCAAUAUAUAUUAAAAACUGAUAAAUAGGGUCACCUGGGUGGCUCAGUCAGUUAAGCAUCUGCACAGGUCAUGAUCUCAGGGUUUGGGGAUUGAGCCCUGCGUUGGGUCUCCCUGCUCAGCAGGAAAGCCUGCUUCUCCCUCGCCCUUUGCCCUUCCCCGUCAUUCGUGCUUGCUCACUCACUCUCAAAAUUUUUUUAAAUCUUAAAAACAAAACAAACAAAAAAAAAUCUUAAAAAAAAACAAAAAAAACUGAUAGAUAUAAACACAGAAACAGGCAAAUCUGUAAUUAUGGUUGCAGAUGUCAAUUCUUCUCUCAGUUAACUGAUAGAGAACUAGAUAAAACAUCCAACAACUAGAGGACACACUCAUUUAAAAGUGCACCAGGAAUACUGACCAAGAUAAGUAUAAAAGAU